GGAGACAUUAUGGCAGACACUGAGACACUAAGGGGCACUGGGAGACAUUAUGGCAGACACUGAGACACUAAGGGACAUUGGGAGACAUUAUGGCAGACACUGAGACACUGAGGGACACUGGGAGACAUUAUGGCAGACACUGAGACACUACUGAGACACUAAGGGACAUUGGGAGACAUUAUGGCAGACACUGAGACACUAAGGGACACUGGGAGACAUUAUGGCAGACACUGAGACACUAAGGGACACUGAGAGACAUUAUGGCAGACACUGAGACACUAAGGGACACUGGGAGACAUUAUGGCAGACACUGA
rnacentral:lncRNA from 1 species